GUGAACGAGCGACGCCGCGUGCGGGAUGAAGGCCUUCGGGUUGUAAAGCACUGUCGGGGGGGAGAAAAGGGCAACCCUGAUCGACCCCCGGAGGAAGCUCGGGCUAAGUUCGUGCCAGCAGCCGCGGUAAGACGAACCGAGCGAACGUUGUUCGGAAUCACUGGGCUUAAAGGGCGCGUAGGCGGGCGGGAAAGUCAGGGGUGAAAGCCGGCAGCUCAACUGUCGAAGUGCCUCUGAUACUCUCCGCCUCGAGGGAGGUAGGGGCGUGCGGAACUUCCGGUGGAGCGGUGAAAUGCGUAGAUAUCGGAAGGAACACCGGUGGCGAAAGCGGCGCGCUGGACCUCUUCUGACGCUGAGGCGCGAAAGCCAGGGGAGCGAACGGGAUUAGAUACCCCGGUAGUCCUGGCCCUAAACGAU
rnacentral:rRNA from 1 species